GCACUCUUCCCCAAAAUCACAGAGCCAAGGAAGACAAGUUGGAGGUUAAGAAAAUGAGCAUUUGUGCAGUGAGAGAUGCGGUAAUUGAAUUGGAAAAACUUUCAAAGGAAUCAACUGGCAAUAAUGAGAAAAAAAGGCAUACAAUUAUGGAUGACGAUAGAGAACAUUCAGGAGAUGAUUAGAAUGGGAUUCGCCAGGAUUUUGAAGAGACAGAUUCAGCAGAACAUUUCAGUAGCUCAAAGGAGGAUUUUGAAAUGAAUUGACAAAGGCUCUAAUUGUGAAGUCACAUUUUGGAUUUUGAAUGAAUAUAUAGGAUUAUCCAAGUUUUUGGCUGUAUUCUAUAUCAUUUUUUGUUCAGUUUCUGGGGCCAUUUCUGUGCAUCUUUUUGUCUAGCUGGUACAUGGAUGGUAACACAAAUAGUGUAAGCUUGUUGUUCACUGACUUAAUA
rnacentral:misc_RNA from 1 species